rnacentral:lncRNA from 1 species
AUUUGUAAAACUUGCUAUAAUGUUAAUUUACAAUUUUCUGUUCUACAAAUGUUUGCAUAAAUAAUAGAUCAAGGUGUUGCUGUUUUCAUGAUCUCUGUUUAAUUAGACAGUCUUGGCAAUUCAACACAAUUGUAAGGAAAAAAAUGACAGGUAAUUUCUUCUUUGCAUUAACAAUAAUUAUGUGAGCAGUUUGGAAAAUACAUUUUUAAAAAUAUUCUUAAUGCCAUUGUAGAUGUUCUGUACCGUCUAAUGAGAAACCACUGUGUUUAAUUUUGUUAUAAAAUAUUCACAAUUCAUUUUAAUAGUUCUAGGAAAAAAAACAACAGUACUUUUGAAGGAAGGCAUUAAUAAUCACCUUCUCUGCACAUCUUUCUCUCUCUCUCUCACAUACAUACUCAUACAAAUAAAAUUCUCUUUCUAUUAGAGACCUAUGGACAAAGAGAUGCAAGCACAGAUCUCCGAUUUAGAAUAUUAGAAUAUUUUUAACCUAGAAAGGGGUAAAAUAUGGCCCUGAAAUUAUGGAUUAGUUUAGUCCUCUCUUAAAAACAUGUGUGUACACACUCAUAUACCUACACACAUAUGUAGAUACUCCAUUGGAAGAAUGGAAAUAAAAUGUUUCCAUCCUAAAAAAUAUUCUAAAAGAGGCAAAUACAUUAUAAGGAUAUAAAAAGAACCACUUAUGUAUAUAAUAAUUUCACAGUAGAGUCCUCUUUAUAACAUGAUAAAACCUGACACUAGAGAAAAAGCCAUCAGUUGCCAAGUUCUUCCUAUUAACAUAGAGUUUCCAGUCACAUUUUUAUUUAUUCAUUCUUAAAAAUCUACCUUUAAAGACAAACAGUGUUACCAUAAGGAGACGUGUGUGUGCCCAUGUGUGCUUAAUUAUCUUAAGAAAAUUUUAAGAUGGCAAGAUAUUCAAGAACAUCUAAUUUCCUAACACAAGGACAGGGAAUAGGGAAACAGGAGGAGAUUAUAAACUGCUGACACAAAAAUGUCUGUAUAGGAGGGAAAUAAUUUUAUAAGAAGGCAAGAGGCUCAAUGAGCACUGAGAACCAAAUUAUGUAAUAUAUUUUUUAAUUCACACACAGACAAAUGAUUAUAGAAUGUUACACUUUGAAGACAAAAAGGAUGUUAUAACUCUUUCAAACAGAAAACAACAGAACAACAGAAGAAAGAUGGCCAUCCAAGAAACAAGCAUCGGACUAAUCUUCAGAAAAAGAUGUUAAGAAAUGUUGGUGCAAGGUCUCAAAGGAAAAGGAAAAAAUGGAAUGAAAUUUAGAAAUUUAUUUCCCACUAAAUUAUUAAUUUUCAAUUGAAAAUAAAUAUUUAUUAAUGCAAAAUCACUAAACAUCAACUUGCAUGGAAAUGUCCUUUCAAGAAGCUUAUUUGUAUUGUGAUUUUAGAAAAUGAAAGUAAAAAACAAGAGUUGUGGAUGUAUUUCUUACAGUCUUUAUUCUCAAAUUCUCUUCACCCUUUACUCCCCUAAAGCAGCAGCAGGGGGCUAUAGCAAUAGUUAAUUAAUUUUUUUAAUCCUGUAAUGGGAGAAAAUUGGAAUACUGUCAAUUAAAACUAUAUGGUUAAUGGACUUUUAAGAAAUGACUCUUAUGCUACCUAAAAGAUACUAGAACGCAUAGUUCUAUCAACAAACCAAAAUGUAUUAUUCAAUCAGAGAGUGCAGAUUGUUGAUUACAGUCAUGCAAAACAGAGUCAAAAAAGAAAAAUGUAAAAACAAAGUUAGCAUGAUUUUAAGAGCUAGAAGAAUACAAAAAGCAAAAAUACAUUUGCCACUGACACUAGGAAUAUUCUGACUGGCACUGCUGCUAUGACAUUAGAAACAUGAAGAGGAGAUGCAACUAUGUACACCACUAGGUUCUGAAUUGAAAAAAAAUUAUACAAUUGUAAUAAUAAACCAGUAUUUACUGACUUUCAACUUAAACUACAGAGAAAGCAUAAAAUGCUUAAUUAUGCCUGUAAUGGAGUAGAAUAUACAUACUUUAAAGUCAGGAUAAAGAAGCACAGAGGUGCUAACAUGCUAUCACACAAAAUGGAAAUUGAAAAGAAAAUGUUUGCAUUUUUUAAAAAAAUUUAAAAUUUCAAUACUAAAAAAAAUCAAUAGGAUAAUCAAUUGAAAAAGUUGAGGGUGUUAAAUUACCAAUAAUUGGAAAAGGAAAGAAGUGGGAGAGUUGGAAAAGAAAUAAAUUAAGUCUAAACUUUUCUAUUGUGUCAUUAAGGAUCUCUGUUGCCUUAUUUUCUGUCGAGGGGAUCUGUCCAUUGAUGUGAGUGGGGUGUUAAAGUCUCCUAUUAUUAUUGUAUUCCAAUCAAUUUCUCCUUUUAUGUCUGUUUAGUAUUUGUUGUAGGUAUCUGAAUGUUCCUAUAUUUGGGGCAUAUAUAUUGAGGACUGUAAUAUCCUCUUCUUAAAUGGAUCCCUUGACCAUUAAACAGUGUCUUUCUUUGUCUUUAUUUAUGGCCUUCAUUUUAAAGUCUAUUUUGUCUGAUAUGAGUAUUGCAACUCCUGCUUUCCUGUCUUGUCCAUUGGCAUGAAAUAUCUUUUCCCAUCCCCUCACUUUCAAUCUAUAUGUCUCUUUUGCCUUAAGGUGACAAUCUUGCAGAGAGCAGAUUAUAGGUUUUUUCUUUGUUAUCCAAUCUGCCACUCUAUGUCUUUUGACUGGAGCAUUCAGUCCAUUGAUAUUUAAGGCAAUUAUUGAUAAAUAUGUAUUCACUAUCAUUUCAAACCUUGUUUUCCAGUUUAUUCUAUGUUUCUUUUCUUUCUUUUUUUUUUUGGUUGGAUGAUUUCCAUUUAUUUUAUGCUUGAGUACUUUUCUUUUUAGUUUUUGUAUGUAAUGUUUAGUUUUGAUUUGUGGUUGCCUUGUUUUUUUCAGUAUGUUAACCCCUUCCUGUAUCUGCUUGCUUUAGCCUGAUAGUCAUAUAGGCUAAAACACAUUAUUAAAAAAAAAUGAGUUUAUAUUUUCUUACUUUUCUUCCCCACAUUCUAUGAUUUUGUUGUCCUUUUUUAACAUCUUCAUGUGCAUCCUUUUGCUGUUCCUUGUGUAUCACUGCUUUUACGGUCUUCCUCCCCCCCCCCCUUUUAGAGCUACAUGCUGGCUUAUUUAAGUGAUUGCUUUCCAAUUGUGGUUUCCUCCAUCUUAUUUCUUCUUACUUUUUUAUUUAGAGAAGCCCUUUCAGUAUUUCUUUUAGAAUGGAUUUAAUACUGCUGAACCCUUUUAGGUUUGGUGGAGAAAUUCUUUAUUUCCCCUUCUAUUUUAAAUGAUAUUCUUGCUGGAUAGAGUAUUCUAGGCUGCAAAUUUUUUCCUUUCAGAACUUUAAAUAUAUUUUGCCACUCUCUUCUGGCUUGUAAUGUUUCUGUAGAGAAAUCAGCUGAUAGCCUUAUGGGAGUUCCCUUAUAAUUAAUGUUUAGUUUUUCUCUUGCUGCCUUUGGAAUCUCCUUGUCUUUAACUUUUGCCAUUUUUAUUACAAUAUGUCUUGGUGUGGUCCUAUUUGGGUUCAACUUGUUUGGGGCCCUCUGUGCUUCCUGUAUCAUGAUAUCAGUUUCCUUUGGAUUUGGAAAGUUUUCAGCCAUAAUUUCUUCAAAUAUCUUUUCAAUCCCCUUUUUUCUUCUCCUUCUAGAAUUCCUAUUAUGCGUAGAUGGGCCCGCUUUAUAUUACCCAAUAGAUCUCUUAUAUUGCUUUGUGUCUUUUUCAUUUGGUUUUCUGCCGGCUGUCCUGAUUGGGUGAUUUCCAUUAUUCUAUCUUCCUAGUCACUAAUUCAUUCCUCUGCAUUAUUCGUUCUGCUCUUUACUGCCUUUAGCUCAGUUUGUAUCUCCGCAAAUGAAUUUUCUAAUUUUUCUAUGUCCCUCAUUCUAGCUCCUUUCUAAGGGAAUCUGCAUUACUAUUCAUAUCUGCUCUUAAUUCCUUGAUAUUCAGCCUUAAUUCCUUCAGUAUUUUCACCAUCUCCCUCUUGACCUCAAUGUCUAUAGGACUGCAGAGGUCUGUUUCAUUGUUUGCUACUUCAGGUGAAUUCUCCUCUUCCUUUAAUCAGGAAUGCUUUCUGAACUUCUUCAUCUUGCUUGUUUUUCUUUUUCUGUGAGUUUAGGGAAGCCAAACUGUAGCCUUGGGGCAGCUAUUUCUAUGCAAGAGCACCCUUUUGUGGGGGGUUACUAUUUAUUUUUAGUGUGGGAGUUUGAAUAUUUGCUGUCUCUUUCUUCAGUGUGAGCAGGCUGUUAUCCCCAGGGUGCUGAGUUUGUUUCUGGGGAGAAGAAGGCAAUGAGUAGGGCUAGUAGUCACUGCCUGAUUGCUGGGCUCUUAGCAGCAAGGACCUGCAGGAAGGUGGUACAGGCUACUCCUAGUUGCAGGGCCCUGGGAAGCGGUAAUGAACCUUAUGCAGAUUGACAAGGUGGUGCCCAGAGCAUUUGGCAGCAGCAGCAGCAGGUUGUGUGAGUUCCCAGGGAGUGAGAGCAACAACAGGUAGUGUUCAAUUACAAUGCCCUCCUCUGAGGUGGCUGGAGCCACAAGUGGUGCCUGUUUAAGGACCCCUAGUGGUAGUGGGCCAUGCCCACAUCUGGAGUCAGGAAUAACCAUGGUGGUUUGCCCCACCACCUGCAGACCAUGCAAGAAGCACCCCGUCUCACUUAGCCCACAUAUGAGGUGCUACCCAGGCUGCUCCUAAUUGCAGGAUCCUGGUAAGUGACAGAGAUCAAGCGUGUGGGCACUGCCCAGAGAGUCUGGCAGUGGCAGCAGCUGUGCCAGUGUAGUUCCAUGGGUUUGAGAGCAAUAACAGGUGGUUUUCAUUCACAGUGCCCUCCUCUGUGGUGCCCUUGAGGUAAUGGUAGCUGCAGGUGGUGCCUGUUCAUGGACCCCUAGUGGUGGCAGUCCACAUCCACCUCUGAAGUCAGUCAUAACCAUGGUGAUUUGCCCUGCCUCCUGGAGACAGUGCAAGAAGCACCUCAUCCCACUUAUACCCCAUAGGAGGUGCUCACCAGCUGCUCUUAGCUGUAGGUUCCUGGGAAGGGACAGUGAUCAAGCCUCUGGGCACUGCCCAGAGCAUUUGGCAGUGGCAGCAGCUGGGCGGCUGUGCUCCCAGGGGAGCAAGAGCCACAAAAGGUGAUGUUCUGUCACAAUGUCAUCCUCUGUGGUGCCCUCUGAGGUGGCUGGGGUUGCAAGUAGUUCUUGUUCAGGAUUCUCAGUGGUGGUGAGUCUACCUCUGGAGUGAGUUUACCCCCGCCACCUGCAGACCACGCAGGAAGCACCCUGUCCCACUUCUUAGCACACACAGGAGGUGCUGCACCAACAGCUCCUAGUUGUAGGGUCUUGGGAAGGGACAGUGAUGAAACAUCUGGGUGCCACCCAAAGCAUUUGGCAGUGGCAAUGCAGGCAAGUAGU